UAGGGAAUCUUCGGCAAUGGACGGAAGUCUGACCGAGCAACGCCGCGUGAGUGAAGAAGGUUUUCGGAUCGUAAAGCUCUGUUGUAAGAGAAGAACGAGUGUGAGAGUGGAAAGUUCACACUGUGACGGUAUCUUACCAGAAAGGGACGGCUAACUACGUGCCAGCAGCCACGGUAAUACGUAGGUCCCGAGCGUUGUCCGGAUUUAUUGGGCGUAAAGCGAGCGCAGGCGGUUAGAUAAGUCUGAAGUUAAAGGCUGUGGCUUAACCAUAGUACGCUUUGGAAACUGUUUAACUUGAGUGCAAGAGGGGAGAGUGGAAUUCCAUGUGUAGCGGUGAAAUGCGUAGAUAUAUGGAGGAACACCGGUGGCGAAAGCGGCUCUCUGGCUUGUAACUGACGCUGAGGCUCGAAAGCGUGGGGAGCAAACAGGAUUAGAUACCCUGGUAGUCCACGCCGUAAACGAUGAGUGCUAGGUGUUAGACCCUUUCCGGGGUUUAGUGCCGCAGCUAACGCAUUAAGCACUCCGCCUGGGGAGUACGACCGCAAGGUUG
rnacentral:rRNA from 1 species